rnacentral:tRNA from 1 species
GGAGAAUUACUCAAGAGGCUGAAGAGGACGGUUUGCUAAAUCGUUAGGUCGGGUAACUGGCGCGGGGUUCGAAUCCCCCAUUCUCCG